CACAGACAACUGGGCAAAAUUAAUUAAUUUAAAACAUUGGCCUGCUGAUUGUAUUCUGAAUUUUUAAUUCUCUUUCUUUUUGCAGGAUCCACUGCCUCUUGCUCCCAAUGAUGAAACUGAGGCAACACCUGAUUCCCAGUUAGCAACACACCAGUAUGCCGAUUUAGAUGAAAUAAGAUCAAGGAAGGGACAUGCUCCUCCACCCACUGUUCUUGAUGAUGUUAAGUAUAUUCACAAUAAAAUUAAUAUA